UGGCUCUCGCAUCGCUGAAGAACGCAGCGAAAUGCGAUAAGUAAUGUGAAUUGCAGAAUUCAGUGAAUCAUCGAAUCUUUGAACGCACCUUGCGCCCUUUGGUAUUCCGAAGGGCACACCUGUUUGAGUGUCGUGAAAUUCUCAACCCUCUUCACUUUUGUGAAGGCAAGGGCUUGGACUUGGAGGCUUUGCCGGGCUCUUUUUGCUCGGCUCCUCUCAAAUGCAUUAGUGCGUCUCGUUGCGAUGUGCGCCUCGGUGUGAUAGUUAUCUACGCUGCGUGUGUGCUCGCUUCUUGUGGGACGUGCUUCAAACCGUCCGAUUAAAGGACAAUCAUCUCGAAACUUGACCUCAAAUCAGGUGGGACUACCCGCUGA
rnacentral:misc_RNA from 1 species